UCUUUUCAGUUCUACCCAUUUC
rnacentral:miRNA from 1 species